GACAUACUACGGUGCAUUCAGGGAAAAAGUAAACGAUGACCCCUGAGGAACUCUAGGAUAAAAUGCAAAAUCGAUCCUGUCCUGGGUCAGGUUUCUUU
rfam:Serratia symbiotica genome assembly, type strain CWBI-2.3T, contig: SYMBAF_Contig_16